rnacentral:rRNA from 1 species
GCUGGAAUUGCUAGUAAUGGCAGGUCAGCAUACUGCCGUGAAUACGUUCCCGGGCCUUGUACACACCGCCCGUCACACCAUGAGAGUUGGAAAUACCCGAAGCCUGUGAGCUAACUUAAAGAGGCAGCAGUCGAAGGUAGAGCCAAUGAUUGGGGUGAAGUCGUAACAAGGUAAC